GGGGCGGUAGCUCAGCUGGUUAGAGCUGCGAACUCAUAAUUCGUCGGUCACGGGUUCGAGUCCCGUCCGCCCCA
rnacentral:tRNA from 2 species